rnacentral:rRNA from 1 species
ACGCGCUGAACCUUACCAGGUCUUGACAUCCCAUUGACCGGUAUAGAGAUAUACCUUUCCCUUCGGGGACAGUGGUGACAGGUGGUGCAUGGUUGUCGUCAGCUCGUGUCGUGAGAUGUUGGGUUAAGUCCCGCAACGAGCGCAACCCUUGUUCUUAGUUGCCAUCAUUUAGUUGGGCACUCUAAGGAGACUGCCGGUGACAAACCGGAGGAAGGUGGGGAUGACGUCAAAUCAUCAUGCCCCUUAUGACCUGGGCUACACACGUGCUACAAUGGACGGUACAAACGGUUGCCAACCCGCGAGGGGGAGCUAAUCCGAUAAAACCGUUCUCAGUUCGGAUUGCAGGCUGCAACUCGCCUACAUGAAGCUGGAAUCGCUAGUAAUCGCGGAUCAGCAUGCCGCGGUGAAUACGUUCCCGGGCCUUGCACACACCGCCCGU